UUAUUGGCGUACUGCACGGCCACGUCCACCUCCGGCACCACUUUCUUCACCUCCGCACUUUCCCCGAACCGCUCCGCCCACGCUGCCAAGAGGGGAACCUUGUUUGCGCUAAUGAUCUCGACUCCAUACAUCGUGCGCACCGCAUCGAACCAGAACAAGAAGGAGCCGAGCACGAUGUCGAGGUACCUGAUGGAGUCGCCUCCGAAGAAAGCCUUGCCCUUGGAGCACUGGGCGAAGGCUUCCUCCAUUUGCCCGAUCGCAGCAGAAGUCUCCGUCACCUUCUCUGCCCUCUCGUCCUCCGUCUUGGCCAUCACGAUGCCAAACCACGCCGGACAUAGCUUGUCGUCGACGAAGGCGGCCCAGAAGCGAGCAGUGGCGCGCUCGUAGAGAUCGGUGGGGAGUAUGGACGGGCCGGCAAACAGCUCGUCGACGUACUGCACGAUGACGAGCGAUUCACACAGCGGCUUACCGUUGUGGAUGAGCACGGGGACCUUCUUGUGCACCGGGUUGGACUUGAGCAGGAGCUCGCUCUUGUUGAACAGGUCCUGCUCGACGUACUCGUAGCUCACGCCCUUCGUGCUCAACGCCAUGCGCACCCGGAUCACGAACGGGCUCACCAGCAGGCCGAGCAGCUUCAGAUCCUCCUUGCCUGCCAUUGUAUUCUUCUCUCAGUGUUUUCCUCCACUGACUCUUGGCUUGUGACUAAUUCUUGCUAUCUUGCUGUCUGUGUGCAGGACUUCACAGUUUGGGCGUUUAUAUAGCAGGUCGCGUGUACUUAGUCUACAUGAGAUUUUUUAUUGCAGACAUCGACGCUGAUAUUGCGGCGGCUGGCGACAGGCAAGUUGGUGGUCAUGUUCUUCUGCAGCUCACUGACGAAGCUUCAUUUUGCAAUCAGACGCUAACCAGCAGUGGACUUUUAUUUUUAUCUUCCCUAAUGAUGCUGUGAGACUGGCAGUGACAGCGGUUGGUAUUACCGUCUCUCUCUACUUUGAUUCAGUUAUGUGGAAUGAUUAUCCAUUUGAUACUUACUCCGCAAGUCCACAGAUACAAGUACUCUGAUAGGCGUGCUAAUAGGGCGGGUACAUAUGGGUUUUAUGGGGUGGGUUGCAUCAUUGUUGUAACGUCGGGUGUGUCUGAAUGUGUCAAAAUGGAUUUUAGUAUCUAAUGAUUUGGGGUGAGCUGGGUUUAUUGCAAAUGCGGGUUGGGACGGGUUGGAGGUGGUUUCUUUUUCUUUGGAUUUGUAUAGUUUAACUCAUAUGUUUAAGUUUCAGUGUUCAACUCUUGACGUGGGAUUCAUAAGUAGAUUUAGUCACACUACUUUACACAAAGUACGAGACUGUCAAAUUCAAUCCUCUCCAACAAUUUUGAUCAACUUUGCUCAAAUUGGUGUCAAAUUUUAAGUUUUAGAGGCCAUCUCUUAACGCGAGGCCUACAUAUAAGUCUAGACGCACUACUUUGCAUAAAGUAGUGGAAUAUCAAAUUGAGUUAUUUCUAACAAAUUUUAGUAACAUUUUCUAAAUUUUAAAGCGUGAAUGUAAGGUUUUAGUUCCAGGGUUUGGUUCUCAAUGUAGGCCCCACAUAGGUUUAAUUUUAGGAAAAAUUUUAUUUUUGACCUGAAAACCAGAAAUCUUUAACCACUUAGCUAUAUAAAUCGUGUACUAAUGUCCAUCGCAUCUUGUUUUGACUCUCUGAGUGGUUUUAACUACCACGUCAGAUCAACCGGCCAUGUCACCAUGCUGACUCAGAAUAGGCCCACACGUCAUGUCAUAUGCCUUAGAAAGGCAUCCACCUGUUUAGGGAUGGCAAUCGGGUGGGUUGGACCCGAGACCCGCGGGUUUCAGACCCGACGGGGUGGGGGACGGGGGCGGGUUCGGAAUGCCCCCUGCGGGUCUCGGGUUCGGGGCCCCGACACAUGGCGAGUGCGGGGGUGGAUUUAUACUCCCCUUGCGGGUGACCCACGGGCCCGAAGUAUACAAUUCAGCUAAAAAGUAGUCCAUCCCAACAACAACAACCCUAGGUAUAUAAGUGUGUCUCCCACUCUUGGACUCUCCCCGUCUUCCCUCUUCAGUCUCCAGGCCAGUCGCCGCACGCGGCAGGCUGCUCCCCCAACCCCAAAUCCCCAUUGCCGGAUGCCCCUCGCCCAGUACGCCUCCGCCGCUAGGUGCUGGCCGCCCGCGCCCGUCGCCCCCUCGCCCUGCUAGUCGCCCGUGAGCGCCGCCAGGCGCCGGCUGCCCUCGCUCCUCGCCCCCCUCACCCUGUCUCUUGCGAGCGGUGAGCGCUGUCGGCCGCCUCUCACCGCCUUCACCCGCGAGCGCCGCCUGCCAGCGCCGCCGGCCGCCCCUCGCCUCCCUCGCACGCAAGCACCGCCUGCCAGUGCCGCCGGCCGCCCCUCACCCCCUUGCCCGUGAGCGCCGCCUGCCAGCGCCGCCGGCCGCCUCUUGCCCCCCCUCGCUCGUGGUAUUGAUGUGUUGAUGUCACUAUUGCUUGGGUUUUGGGUGCCCCGUCGGGUUUCGGUCACCCGCGGGUUUUGAGGGCGGGUGGACAAUUUCACCUGAAAUGGAGUUCGGGUUCGGAGUGGGUUUCAUUCUCGGAUUUCAGGGGCGGAUCCACGGAAGCUCCACCCGACCCGACCCACCCGUUGCCAUCCCUACACCUGUUGAACUGCCCCAGCUCCGGUGGCAUCUGCUGCUGCCGCGGCGGCACCAGCACCAGCUAUCCCGCUCUUCCUCCCCAGAGCUCUCCCACCCGUCAAACUGCCCCAGCUCCGGCGGCGCGAUUCCCAUGGCUUUGCCUCACAUCCUCGCGCUCACCACCCACACACUCUAAGGCCUCGUAAGGGAACCAGAUCGGCUCCGAAUAACCUUCACCGCCCACGCCGAUGAGCGCCAACCCACCCACCACUCCCUCCAACGAACCGUUGUACCGCCACCGUUGGAAAUCCCACGAGUUCGCCCACCAUGGAAGCACCGAGAUCCAACGUCCCCGCGGAAUCGGGCCGAAUCACACCAGGCCACGAACACCAGCCACGCGAUCCCGCCGUAUCGAGAGCGCCUCUCGUGCGAGGAGCACCGUAACACCUUGGCUCUUUUCCUUACACCGAGAAGACCACCAGCACCGGCAAGGGACAGGAAAAGCCGUGGCACGGGAAAGGAAUGCUAACAGUCCAGAACAACUAUGUGCUAGAUCCGAGAAGGUGGGGUCCUCCGCUUGUGCUUGGUACCGUCGAAGACGCUCGUCGUUUCCGCUGACGGAUUCAAGUCGCACCGCCGCGUCACCCUCCAGUUCUAUUAUGAGUCACCGGAGUUGGGGCAGUUGGAUAGGUAGAUGCCUUUCUAAGGCACGUGACCUGACAUGACAUGUGGACCUAAUCUGAGUCAGCAUGGUGACAUAGCUGGUUGAUCCAACCUGGCAGUCAAAACCACUGAAAACAGGUCAAAACAGGGUGCGAUGGCCAUUUGUACACGGUUCGUAUAGUUAAGUGGUCAAAGAUUCCUGAUUUUUAAGUUCGGUGGUCGAAAUCAAACCAAGACUUGUUAUGGACUGAGCUGUAGCCCACUCUAUGGAAACCGUCUAUGAAAUUAGUUAAAGUGUUAGACAACUUCUUUUAGGUUAUAUUACUUAUUUACAGGUGAUGAGGCAACUACCUUUUAUAUAUAGACGUGUCAACAGACCAAGGAGACGGGUGGAUCCAGAGGUGGGGCAGGCGGGGCUAAGCCCUCCUACCGCCCCGGGAAUAACGGAGCCCCUUAGCCCCUCCUUAAUUUUUGUUUUAGGAAGAAGGAAGAAGAAGAGAAGACCUCCUUAAUUUUUGUUUGAGGAAAAAGGAAGAAGAAGAGAAGAGAGGGAAGGAAGGGGAAGAAGAGAGAGCCUCCUAAGCUUAUGGACUGCAUCCGCUGCAACAAGAUAAGGAUAUUAGUCUACCGUUGCUCUAUUCUCGUGGGCAACGGUUAGCCCAACAUCAACACAAACAAAUACCUAGCGCAGCUCCAAACGUAGGCCCGGCCAUCUGUUCGCUGCGCUCAGCGCUUGUAUUGGUGCUACAUAGGCAGCACUGGUAUUUCGCCAACGAAGAAAGUUUGUGGCAUCCUGUCCACAUUUUUGUUUGUCAUGCUGGAAAUAAUCAGGCGUGAGAAUGUGAGAUUGUGGCCUUUGCGCCUCCGGUUGUUCACUUUUCGCUGUCGCCGAGUCUCGGUGGGUGGAGUGUCUCUUCAGUUCGCUUUCUGCUUUCUGAACAUGCAUCCCUAAACGGUUGAACUCUAUACUUGCGAAGCUUCUAUUCCAGAACUGAAUAGGCGUUUACGCCUUUUUUAAGAAACGGGGAAGGUUGGGGCUGUUUGCUUCAGCUUAUAAGCCGGCUGAAAAGCUGAAACGGCUGAUUUGUUGUGAGAGGAAAAUACUGUUUGGUGGCUGAUAAGCCGACUGAAUAAGCUGAAGCGAACAGACUCGUUAGCCUUUACGGAAGAACAUAACAAAAACAGCAAAAAUUAACAUCAAAGCUAAACACAAUUUAUGGCACGCUAGAUCACAACAAAAACGUGACCUGAACAUUCACUUGGCAAUCCCAUCAUUUGGCUACCCACAAUGUUUAUUACACGACCCAAUCCGAACCAAUUCACUUGGCGGCAGCCGCAGCGCCAGCGAACUUAUUGACAAAUUGCAAGGCCUCGUCCGCCCCCGGCACCACUUCCUUCGCCUCCGCACUUUCCCGGAAUCGCUCCGCCCACGCGGCCAAGAGCGGAGUCUUGCUUGCGCUAAUGAUCUCGACUCCGUACAUCCUGCGCACCGCCUCGAACCAGAACAAGAAGGAGCCGAGCACAAUGUCGAGGUACCCGAUGGAGUCGCCGCCGAAGAAAGCCUUGCCCUCGUUGCACUUGGCGAACGCCUCCUCGAUUUGCGCGAUAGCGGCAAGCGUCUCAGUCACCUUCUCCGCCCUCUCGUCCUCCGUCUUGGCCUUAACGAUGCCGCCAUACCACGCCGGAAAUAGCUGCAAGCAAGACGCUGCCAAUUUGAUCGGUACCAAAGAAAUACUCCGUACUAAUAAGUUCGGAAACGCACAAGCAUCUAUACCUUGUCGUCGAUGUAGGCGGCCCAGAAGCGAGCAGUGGCGCGCGCGUAGGGAUCGGUGGGGAGGAUGGACGGGCCGGGAAACAGCUCGUCGACAUACUGCACGAUGACGAGCGACUCACACAGAGGCUUACCGUUGUGGAUGAGCACGGGUACCUUAUUGUGCACCGGGUUCGACUUGAGGAGGAGCUCGCUCUUGUUCUUCAGGUCCUCCUCGACGUACUCGUAGCUCACGCCCUUCAUGCUCAACACCAUGCGCACCCGGACCACGAACGGGCUCACCAGCAGGCCGAGCAGCUUCAGAUCCUCCUUUCCCGCCAUCGUAUUAUUCUCUCGUGUUUCCCUCUACUGGACUCUUGGCUUGUUAGUUGUGACUAAUCAUAUCUUACUCUGCCUCCGUGUAGGAUUCGCCUUACAGUUUGGCGUUUAUAUAGAAGGUCGCGUGCCGUUGUCGUACAU
rnacentral:lncRNA from 1 species